rnacentral:rRNA from 1 species
GACGAACGCUGGCGGCGUGCUUAACACAUGCAAGUCGAACGGAAAGGCCCUGCUUUUGUGGGGUGCUCGAGUGGCGAACGGGUGAGUAACACGUGAGUAACCUGCCCUUGACUUUGGGAUAACUUCAGGAAACUGGGGCUAAUACCGGAUAGGAGCUCCUGCUGCAUGGUGGGGGUUGGAAAGUUUCGGCGGUUGGGGAUGGACUCGCGGCUUAUCAGCUUGUUGGUGGGGUAGUGGCUUACCAAGGCUUUGACGGGUAGCCGGCCUGGGAGGGUGACCGGCGACAAUAGGACUGAGGUACGGAGCAGAGUCGUAUGGGAGGCAGCAGGGGGGAGUAUUGCACAAUGGGAGGGAGCCUGAUGCGGAAACGCCGCGGGUGGGAAGACGGCCUUCGGGGUGUGAAAAGCUUUAGCCUGUGACGAAGCGGGAGUGACGGUAAUGGGUAAAGAAGCACCGGCUAACUACGUG